rnacentral:rRNA from 1 species
GAUGAACGCUGGCGGCGUGCCUAAUACAUGCAAGUCGAGCGAACAGACGAGGAGCUUGCUCCUCUGACGUUAGCGGCGGACGGGUGAGUAACACGUGGAUAACCUACCUAUAAGACUGGGAUAACUUCGGGAAACCGGAGAUAAUACCGGAUAAUAUAUUGAACCGCAUGGUUCAAUAGUGAAAGACGGUUUUGCUGUCACUUAUAGAUGGAUCCGAGCUGCAUUAGCUAGUUGGUAAGGUAACGGCUUACCAAGGCAACGAUGCGUAGCCGACGUCAGAGGGGGAUCGGCCACACGGGAACGGAGACACGGACCAGACUCCUACGGGAGGCAGCAGUAGGGAAUCUUCCGCAAUGGGCGAAAGCCUGACGGAGCAACGCCGCGUGAGUGAUGAAGGUCUUCGGAUCGUAAAACUCUGUUAUUAGGGAAGAACAAAUGUGUAAGGAACUAUGCACGUCUUGACGGUACCUAAUCAGAAAGCCACGGCUAACUACGUG